UACGAAGGGGGCUAGCGUUGCUCGGAAUCACUGGGCGUAAAGCGCACGUAGGCGGCUUUCUAAGUCAGGGGUGAAAUCUUGGAGCUCAACUCCAGAACUGCCUUUGAUACUGGAGAGCUCGAGUCCGGGAGAGGUGAGUGGAACUCCGAGUGUAGAGGUGAAAUUCGUAGAUAUUCGGAAGAACACCAGUGGCGAAGGCGGCUCACUGGCCCGGUACUGACGCUGAGGUGCGAAAGCGUGGGGAGCAAACAGG
rnacentral:rRNA from 1 species